GACGAACGCUGGCGGCGUGCCUAAUACAUGCAAGUCGAACGCAUUUUCUUUCACCGUAGCUUGCUACACCGAAAGAAAAUGCGUGGCGAACGGGUGAGUAACACGUGGGUAACCUGCCCAUCAGCGGGGGAUAACACUUGGAAACAGGUGCUAAUACCGCUAAAUUCAAUUUACCGCAUGUUAGAUAGAUGAAGGGCGCUUUUGCGUCACUGAUGGAUGGACCCGCGGUGCAUUAGCUAGUUGGUGGGGUAACGGCCUACCAAGGCUGCGAUGCAUAGCCGACCUGAGAGGGUGAUCGGCCACACUGGGACUGAGACACGGCCCAGACUCCUACGGGAGGCAGCAGUAGGGAAUCUUCGGCAAUGGACGCAAGUCUGACCGAGCAACGCCGCGUGAGUGAAGAAGGUUUUCGGAUCGUAAAACUCUGUUGUUAGAGAAGAACAAGGAUGAGAGUGGAAAGUUCAUCCCUUGACGGUAUCUAACCAGAAAGCCACGGCUAACUACGUG
rnacentral:rRNA from 1 species